rnacentral:rRNA from 1 species
AACGAACGCUGGCGGCAGGCCUAACACAUGCAAGUCGAGCGCGCCCUUCGGGGUGAGCGGCGGACGGGUGAGUAACGCGUGGGAACGUGCCCUUUUCUACGGAAUAGCCUCGGGAAACUAAGAGUAAUACCGUAUACGCCCUUUGGGGGAAAGAUUUAUCGGAAAAGGAUCGGCCCGCGUUGGAUUAGGUAGUUGGUGGGGUAAUGGCCUACCAAGCCGACGAUCCAUAGCUGGUUUGAGAGGAUGAUCAGCCACACUGGGACUGAGACACGGCCCAGACUCCUACGGGAGGCAGCAGUGGGGAAUCUUAGACAAUGGGGGCAACCCUGAUCUAGCCAUGCCGCGUGAGUGAUGAAGGCCUUAGGGCUGUAAAGCUCUUUCAGCUGGGAAGAUAAUGACGGUACCAGCAGAAGAAGCCCCGGCUAACUCCGUG